rnacentral:tRNA from 1 species
GGCUCGUUGGUCUAGGGGUAUGAUUCUUGCUUAGGGUGCGAGAGGUCCCGGUUUCAAAUCCCGGACGAGCCC